UACGUAGGGUGCGAGCGUUGUCCGGAAUUACUGGGCGUAAAGAGCUCGUAGGUGGUUUGUCGCGUUGUCCGUGAAAACUCACAACUCAAUUGUGGGCGUGCGGGCGAUACGGGCAGACUGGAGUACUGCAGGGGAGACUGGAAUUCCUGGUGUAGCGGUGGAAUGCGUAGAUAUCAGUGAAGAGCCGUGGCGAAGGCGGGUCUCUGGACAGUUCCUGACGCUGAGGCACGAAGGUCAGGGGAGCAAACGGG
rnacentral:rRNA from 1 species